AAGGAAAGAUGUUUUAUUGUGCUUCAUGUUCAUUUCCGACAGACCAAGGAGAAGACUCCGGGAAUCUCAGAGAUCGUUGUGAUAACCACGUCUCUCUCUCUCUCUCUCUCUCUCUCUCUCUCUCUCUCUCUCUCUCUCUCUCUCUCUCUCUCUCUCCGUCGUGUCGCAAGCGGAAACGCAACACAACCACAGAACACGCUGUCAGUCUAGUCUCUGAUUCCCGUUUACCCAGAAUGCACACUAUCCAACGGCGCGAGUUGCUCCUCCUCCACUCCUCCUCCUUCUUCUUCUCUUGUCAUCCUUUACACAAUGUUUCUACUUUUUUGUCUCCCAGCGGUAUCCAUGGAUACCAAGGGAUGCUACAAAAAAAAUAAAUCAUUAUUUUAAAAAAAAAAGAAGCAACACAAAAAAGCAAUCUAACCAACAAACGGAUUAGUUUACUACAUACAUUUAGAUGUUAUUUAAAGAAACAGCUUUGUCUGAGGCUUUAAGAAGAAUCAUCGUGUAGCAUUUAGAAAAAAUAAUGGUCGAGAAAAAACCAUCCAAAGAUGAAGCGAAAACUUCAAAUUGUCAUUUUACAAACAUUUACACGCCAAGAAAAUAAAAAGCUAAACUGUAUAAGGCUGUUUAGUUAACAGGGCUGAAUGAUUUAAGCACGUAUAAGCAGUCAAUCAAUCAAUCAAUAAGUACAUCAUGAUCAGAUGUGUCAAAAUCAAUCAUGAUCAAAUCGUAAGGUAUCAAUAUCAAUCAAUCAUGAUCACAUCGUAUUGUAUCAAUAUCAAUCAAUCAUGAUCACAUCGUAUUGUAUCAAUAUCAAUCAAUCAUGAUCAUAUCGUAAGGUAUCAAUAUCAAUCAAUCAUGAUCAUAUCGUAAUGUAUCAAUAUCAAUCAAUCAUGAUCAUAUCAUAAGGUAUCAAUAUCAAUUAACAAUACAUCAUGAUCAGAUAAUAUAAGGUGUCAAUAUCAAUCAAUCAACCAAUCAUGAUCAGAUCAAUAUACAGUGUAUCAGAGAGAAAUCAUGAGAGAAAAAGGGAGAGAGAGAGAAACAGACAGAGAGACAGAGAGAGAGAAACAGGCAGAGGAAGAGAGAGAAACAGACAGAGGAAGAGAGAGAGACAGACAGAGAGGAAGAGAGAGACAGACAGAGAGGAAGAGAGAGAGACAGACAGAGGAAGAGAGAGAGAAACAGACAGAGGAAGAGAGAGAAACAGGCAGAGAGGAAGAGAGAGAGACAGACAGAGGAAGAGAGAGAAACAGGCAGAGAGGAAGAGAGAGAGACAGACAGAGAGGAAGAGAGAGAGACAGACAGAGAGGAAGAGAGAGACAGACAGAGAGGAAGAGAGAGAGACAGACAGAGGAAGAGAGAGAGAAACAGACAGAGGAAGAGAGAGAAACAGGCAGAGAGGAAGAGAGAGAGACAGACAGAGGAAGAGAGAGAAACAGGCAGAGAGGAAGAGAGAGAGACAGACAGAGAGGAAGAGAGAGAGACAGACAGAGAGGAAGAGAGAGAGACAGACAGAGAGGAAGAGAGAGAGACAGACAGAGGAAGAGAGAGAGACAGACAGAGGAAGAGAGAGAGACAGACAGAGGAAGAGAGAGAGACAGACAGAGGAAGAGAGAGACAGACAGAGAGGAAGAGAGAGAAACAGACAGAGAGGAAGAGAGAGAAACAGACAGAGAGGAAGAGAGAGAGAAACAGACAGAGGAAGAAGAGAGAAACAGACAGAGAGGAAGAGAGAGAAACAGACAGAGAGGAAGAGAGAGAGACAGACAGAGAGGAAGAGAGAGACAGACAGAGGAAGAGAGAGAAACAGACAGAGAGGAAGAGAGAGAAACAGACAGAGAGGAAGAGAGAGAGAAACAGACAGAGAGGAAGAGAGAGACAGACAGAGGAAGAGAGAGACAGACAGAGGAAGAGAGAGAGACAGACAGAGGAAGAGAGAGAGACAGACAGAGGAAGAGAGAGACAGACAGAGGAAGAGAGAGACAGACAGAGGAAGAGAGAGACAGACAGAGGAAGAGAGAGAGAGAGACAGAGGAAGAGAGAGAGAGAGACAGAGGAAGAGAGAGACAGACAGAGAGGAAGAGAGAGAGACAGACAGAGAGGAAGAGAGAGAGAAACAGACAGAGGAAGAGAGAGACAGACAGAGGAAGAGAGAGAAACAGACAGAGAGGAAGAGAGAGAGACAGACAGAGAGGAAGAGAGAGAGACAGAGAGAGGAGAGAGAGAGAGAAACAGACAGAGAGGAAGAGAGAGAAACAGACAGAGAGGAAGAGAGAGAGAGACAGACAGAGGAAGAGAGAGAGACAGACAGAGGAAGAGAGAGACAGACAGAGGAAGAGAGAGAAACAGACAGAGAGGAAGAGAGAGAAACAGACAGAGGAAGAGAGAGACAGACAGAGGAAGAGAGAGAGAAACAGACAGAGGAAGAGAGAGAGAAACAGACAGAGGAAGAGAGAGAGAAACAGACAGAGGAAGAGAGAGAGAAACAGACAGAGGAAGAGAGAGAGACAGACAGAGAGGAAGAGAGAGAGAGACAGACAGAGGAAGAGAGAGAAACAGACAGAGAGGAAGAGAGAGAAACAGACAGAGAGGAAGAGAGAGAGAAACAGACAGAGAGGAAGAGAGAGAGAGACAGACAGAGGAAGAGAGAGAAACAGACAGAGAGGAAGAGAGAGAGAAACAGACAGAGAGGAAGAGAGAGAAACAGACAGAAGAGAGAGAGAAACAGACAGAGAGGAAGAGAGAGAGAAACAGACAGAGAGGAAGAGAGAGAAACAGACAGAGAGGAAGAGAGAGAGAAACAGACAGAGAGACAGAGAGGAAGGAAGAGAGAGAGAAACAGACAGAGAUACAGACAGAGAGACAGAGAGGAAGAGACAGAGAGGGAGGAAGAGAGAGAGAAACAGACAGAGAGACAGAGAGGAAGAGACAGAGAGGGAGGAAGAGAGAGAGAAACAGACAGAGAGGAAGAGAGAGAGAAACAGACAGAGAAACAGACAGAGAGACAGAGAGGGAGGAAGAGAGAGAAACAGACAGAGAGACAGACAGAGAGACAGAGAGGAAGAGACAGAGAGGGAGGAAGAGAGAGAAACAGACAGAGAGACAGACAGAGAGACAGAGAGGAAGAGACAGAGAGGGAGGAAGAGAGAGAAACAGACAGAGAAACAGACAGAGAGACAGAGAGGGAGGAAGAGAGAGAAACAGACAGAGAGGGAGGAAGAGAGAGAAACAGACAGAGAGACAGAGAGGGAGGAAGAGAGAGAACAGACAGAGAAACAGACAGAGAGACAGAGAGGGAGGAAGAGAGAGAAACAGACAGAGAGACAGAGAGGGAGGAAGAGAGAGAAACAGACACAGAGGAAGAGAGAGAAACAGACAGAGAGACAGAGAGGGAGGAAGAGAGAGAAACAGACAGAGAGACAGAGAGGAAGAGACAGAGAGACAGAGAGGGAGGAAGAGAGAGAAACAGACAGAGAGACAGAGAGGGAGGAAGAGAGAGAAACAGACAGAGAGGAAGAGAGAGAAACAGACAGAGAGACAGAGAGGGAGGAAGAGAGAGACAGAGAGGAAGAGACAGAGAGACAGAGAGGGAGGAAGAGAGAGAAACAGACAGAGAGACAGAGAGGGAGGAAGAGAGAGACAGAGAGGAAGAGACAGAGAGACAGAGAGGGAGGAAGAGAGAGAAACAGACAGAGAGACAGAGAGGAAGAGAGAGAAACAGACAGAGAGACAGAGAGGAAGAGAGAGAAACAGACAGAGAGACAGAGAGGAAGAGAGAGAAACAGACAGAGAGGAAGAGAGAGAAACAGACAGAGAGGAAGAGAGGAAGAGACAGAGAGGGAGGAAGAGAGAGAAACAGACAGAGAGAGAAACAGACAGAGAGAGAAACAGACAGAGAGAGAGAGAGAGGGAGGAAGAGAGAGAAACAGACAGAGAGAGAGAGAGGGAGGAAGAGAGAGAAACAGACAGAGAGAGAAACAGACAUAGAGAGAAACAGACAGAGAGGAAGAGAGGGAGGAAGAGAGAGAAACAGACAGAGAGACAGAGAGGAAGAGACAGAGAGGGAGGAAGAGAGAGAAACAGACAGAGAGAGAAACAGACAGAGAGAGAAACAGACAGAGAGAGAGAGAGGGAGGAAGAGAGAGACAGAGAGGAAGAGAGAGAAACAGACAGAGAGAGAGAGAGGGAGGAAGAGAGAGACAGAGAGGAAGAGAGAGAAACAUACAGAGAGACAGAGAGGGAGGAAGAGAGAGACAGGGAGGAAGAGAGAGAAACAGACAGAGAGAAACAGACAGAGAGAGAAACAGACAGAGAGAGAGAGAGGGAGGAAGAGAGAGACAGGGAGGAAGAGAGAGAAACAGACAGAGAGAAACAGACAGAGAGAGAAACAGACAGAGAGAGAGAGAGGGAGGAAGAGAGAGAAACAGACAGAGAGAGAGAGAGGGAGGAAGAGAGAGAAACAGACAGAGAGACAGAGAGGGAGGAAGAGAGAGAAACAGACAGAGAGAGAAACAGACAAAGAGAGAGAGGGAGGAAGAGAGAGAAACAGACAGAGAGACAGAGAGGGAGGAAGAGAGAGAAACAGACAGAGAGAAACAGACAGAGAGAGAGAGGGAGGAAGAGAGAGAAACAGACAGAGAGAGAAACAGACAGAGAGAGAGAGAGGGAGGAAGAGAGAGAAACAGACAGAGAGAGAGAGAGGGAGGAAGAGAGAGAAACAGACAGAGAGACAGAGAGGGAGGAAGAGAGAGAAACAGACAGAGAGAGAAACAGACAGAGAGAGAGAGGGAGGAAGAGAGAGAAACAGACAGAGAGAGAGAGAGGGAGGAAGAGAGAGAAACAGACAGAGAGAGAAACAGACAGAGAGAGAGAGGGAGGAAGAGAGAGAAACAGACAGAGAGACAGAGAGGGAGGAAGAGAGAGAAACAGACAGAGAGAGAAACAGACAGAGAGAGAGAGGGAGGAAGAGAGAGAACCAGACAGAGAGAGAAACAGACAGAGAGAGAAACAGACAGAGAGGAAGAGACAGAGAGACAGAGGGAGGAAGAGAGAGAAACAGACAGAGAGAAACAGACAGAGAGAGAAACAGACAGAGAGGAAGAGACAGAGAGGGAGGAAGAGAGAAAAACAGACAGAGAGACGGAGAGGAAGAGACAGAGAGGGAGGAAGAGAGAGAAACAGACAGAGAGAGAAUUACCAAACGGUAUCUGUCAGCAGUAUCAGCUGCCGUUUGCUUUUAAUGAUGUAAAGAAGUACAUUCAUCUCCUGUAGUAGGUCUGUAGAUAUGGAUACGCCCCGUAUGGCACCCUGUUCCCUAUAUAGUGCACGUGAUUCCACUUCCUGUGUCCUAGUAUCCAUGGAAACCAAGAGCUGUAUCCGUGGAAACCGAGGGCUGCUACAAAAAUUAUUUAAAAAAAAAGAGUAAAUAAAUAAAAAGCAGCAACCAAAACCAACAAAUGAAACGGUUGUUGUGACUAUAUAUAGGAAACAGGCUGUCAUCUGAGACCCAGCCAGGGUAUAUGGGGACAGACUGGGCUAGAAGGACGUCUGGGAACUGUUGCUACCACAGCACUUUGGUCAUAGAACGGUUUGGGUUGAGGUACGGGGAGAUUCGAUGACAGUCGGCCGGUCGGUCCUUUUUGUGCCGUUUGAGUUGUGAUUUGUCAAACUAAAACUCAACUGAGGACUGGGAGGGAGGAACUACAGGGAUUUGGG
ensembl:lncRNA